rnacentral:rRNA from 1 species
AUUGAACGCUGGCGGCAUGCUUUACACAUGCAAGUCGAACGGCAGCGCGGGCUUCGGCCUGGCGGCGAGUGGCGAACGGGUGAGUAAUACAUCGGAACGUGCCCAGUAGUGGGGGAGAGCUGGGUAAAGUCGGGAUAAUUACGCCAAUCGCCCUGAGGGCGAAAGGGGGGAAUCUUGGGACCUUCGGCCCUUGCGCGGUCGGAUGGCAGAUUAGCUAGUUGGUGGGUUAAAGGCCUACCAAGGCGACGAUCUGUAGCUGGUCUGAGAGGACGACCAGCCACACUGGGACUGAGACACGGCCCAGACUCCUACGGGAGGCAGCAGUGGGGAAUUUUGGACAAUGGGCGAAAGCCUGAUCCAGCAAUGCCGCGUGUGUGAUGAAGGCCUUCGGGUUGUAAAGCACUUUUGGCGGGAACGAAAAGGACUGUGCCAAUACCACGGUUCGAUGACGGUACCCGAAGAAUAAGCACCGGCUAACUACGUG